rnacentral:rRNA from 1 species
UACGGAGGGGGCUAGCGUUGUUCGGAAUUACUGGGCGUAAAGCGCGCGUAGGCGGCUUUGUAAGUUAGAGGUGAAAGCCCGGAGCUCAACUCCGGAAUUGCCUUUAAGACUGCAUCGCUAGAACGUCGGAGAGGUGAGUGGAAUUCCGAGUGUAGAGGUGAAAUUCGUAGAUAUUCGGAAGAACACCAGUGGCGAAGGCGACUCACUGGACGACUGUUGACGCUGAGGUGCGAAAGCGUGGGGAGCAAACAGG